rnacentral:lncRNA from 1 species
GAAGAAAAUCUAUCUAUGAAAAUUUUGGAGCAAGAAAAAUAGCAAAGGGAGAAAAGAUUCCAUCAGAGUCAGUAGGAUAAGAAAAAAUAAAACAAAAGAAGCCAUCUCUUUAAAUAAAAGGAUGCACGUCUCUCAUAGGACGUCAAGUCGGUAUGAAUCCCUAAAAUAGACCACGCAUCAAGGCUUCAUUAGCUCAACAACUGGCCGAUGGUCUCCACAUUUAAUGCAUCCCAG